UAUGCUUUGGAUCUUAAAUCCCCUCCAAAGGCCAUUGUUUGACCUCCAACCUGCAGUGCUACCUAAGGGCGCAGGGGCAGCAUCUCAGAGGUGAGACUUGAGAGGAAGGACAUUGAGUCACUGAGGACGGCUGCUUCCUAUUGAUAAAAGCCCAGGCCAGAUAAAUUGAACAAAGUUAAUGAAUAGAAAAUGCUCUUGCACUGGGCAACAUUCCAGACCAAAGACAAUCCAGAAGGCCCCUCCUCACUACAUGUCGAUUGAGCUCAGGCCCCUUGUGCUUGCUGACUAGAUGCUGUACUUCUGAGCUCAGAAACACCUUCCCUGGAAAACAACAGCAACCUUUAAUGCUUAGUUCUCUAGGAGCUAGAGAGAUGGAUCAGUGGUCAACAGCAUUGAGUGCUCUUCCAGAGGUCUAUGGUUGGAUUCCCAGCACCCACAUGGAAGCUCACAAGAUCUGACACCUGCACACAGACAGAACAAAAGAUAACAGGCAAAACACCAAGAUAAAGGAGCUGUGAAGCCAUCUGAGGGAGAGUUUCACUGGGAUCGGUAUCUGAGGGACAGAAGAUCCACUCCUGCAAUUGAAAGAAAGAUGAAAUUUUAAGACCGUAACCCAGAGCUGUUCCUGGUCUUCUCUCAAAGCCUCUGGUUCUGGGAAAGCCCUUGGUCUUGGGUAAAGAGACAAGAAAAGGGACUAACUAAGCUUAGUGAAGUAUAGACAUCUGGGAUGAGAUAGCAAAUCAAGUCUACCAGUGAGCCGAAACAGCCUCCGCAGAUGAGGGAAUGGGACGCUAACCUGGAGGAUUCCACAGGCUGCACUCAGAGGAAAAUGCAGAUACUAGAGCAGACGAUCACAUCGAGGUACCCGGUUAGGUCAAGAAGGAUGUGAGGCGAACCUUCAGAUGUGGCUGCAACCCAGCCACACCCAGCCUGGGUCUGCCCGGGCUCUGCUGUCCUUUCUGCAGGCAAUUUCAGUUCAGUGUUGCUUUACAGUAUUGAUUUGGGAUGGGCUAUUGGCCUUCACGAUUAUAGCUACAGAAAUGUAAUUUCUAGAUGAAACAUGGAAUAGAUCCAAGCAGAAAAUGUGAACACAAGAGUUUUCAGAGUAAAGUUAGGAAAGCAUUGUCACUAUCAAAGAGAAUGCUUUACUAAUCUCGAAUAGCAGAAUAUUCUGGCUUCAUAUGUCAUAUAUAUAUAUAUAUAUAUAUAUAUAUAUAUAUAUAUAUAUAUAUACACACACACAUAUAUACACAUAUAUAAAUGUAUUUAAAUAUAUACAGAUAAUAUAUUUAUUAUAUAUAAACAACAUAAUGAAAUAUAUGAUAUAGCAUAUAUCUAUAUUUAUAUAUAGAUAUAUAAAUACAAUAUAUAUUGUUUUAAAACACAGAAAUAGUUGAGAAAUCACCCACCUAAUGUUGCAGUGCUCUUAUGUCUGCCUCCUAGGAUGAUAGAAAUGGGCCACAAUUCCUGGCUUCCAACUCAUUUUUAAAAAGAGUGAGUGCAUCAUUGGUAAAUGGCAAAACUGAAAUAUAAAAGGAAAAGAAACUUAUGAUUCAUAACUAAAUAGCGAAACCCGGAAGUAUCCAGUAGCAAAUGAGCUGAAUGUCAAGCAUGUGAAUAGUCAUGGGAAGCAAGGCGUAUUCCUCUGGGGAAAGACAUCAUCAAUGGUACUGAGAGAAAAAUGUGAAACUAUAACGCCUUUAAAAAACUUGGUGUAGCCUCAUUGCACGUGGUACUGGAUUUCACAAAGGCUCUUACACAUUCUCACACUUUCUCACGCAUUCUCCAUUCUCACACAUUCUCACGCAUUCUCACACAGGUAUAUGAUGAACUUUGGGUGUGUUCCUGUUUCAUGACUCCCCUUUCUGCUCUCCCUUCUCUUUAGUCCCUUUGAUUUCCUUACACAGUUUCAUUUCUACUUAAUGUCAUAUAUGCAUAGCUGAUUUUAUGAAUCUAUAAAAAUAUAGGAAGCACAAGUCAGAGAACUCAUGUAAUAUUUGUCUUUGAGUAGCUCAAUAUAAUAAUCUCCCAAUGUGUCUAUUUUCCUACAAAUGGCAUAACUAUAUUCUUUAUGGCUGAAUAAAAUUGUAUUGCGUAAGUAUAUCAUAUUUUCUUAGCCUGUUCUUCCGUUAGCGAAUACCUAAACUAGCUCCAUAGUGUCUGCCAUGAGUGCUGUAAUAAAUAUUGCUGUACAA
rnacentral:lncRNA from 1 species